UACGUAGGGUGCGAGCGUUAAUCGGAAUUACUAGGCGUAAAGCGUACGCAGGCGGCUGGGUAAGACAGGUGUGAAAUCCCCGGGCUUAACCUGGGAACUGCAUUUGUGACUACCCGGCUAGAAUCCGUUAGAAAAGGGUGGAAUUCCACGUGUAGCAGUGAAAUGCGUAGAGAUGUGGAGGAACACCGAUGGCGAAGACAGCCCGCGGGGACAGGACUGACGCUCAGAUACGAAAGCGUGGGAAGCAAACAGG
rnacentral:rRNA from 1 species